GCGGUUAUAGCGAUACAGCGAUCGAAAAAAAAAACUUCUCUCCCGUGCGCUAGCCCGUCGCCGCCUCCCGGAGCCGCUCGCCGCCUCCUCGCACGUGCCCGCCGGACCGCCAGGCGCCGCCGCCAACUCCGAGCGCGCACCCGCCGCAGCCGCGCCCCCUACCCCGCCGCCUCCUCGCGCGUGCCCGACGCUCGCCCUACCCCGCCGUUGCCGCCUCCUCGCGGCCGCCAGUGAGCCAGGUUCGCCGUCGGCUGGCGCCUUCUCCACCACCGCCGCCGCCUCCUCGCGCGUGGCCUCUGGAGUUCUGGGCUCGCCGUCGGCCGGCUCCUCCUCGCGUGCGCCCGCCGGGGAGCUGUGGUGGGUUACGGCACUACGCAGUACAGACUCCAGGUUAAGGCACAGGGAGGCAACAAUCCAAUACAGGAGAGAUAGGAUGGGAUCCCAGCUCAAGGGAGCCCUGGCGGCAGCUACGGUCGGGAGGACCUAAGCCCUACAGGCAAGCUCUAUAAUCAACCCCCUUUUGCUUACCGGCGAUAAGUCAACCAACUUCCAGUGAUGCAGUCAAUAGUUUCUGAUCAGCUUGGAGUGGUCCGUGCCAUGUUGCUGUGAUAAUGCUACAGGUUAAUCCUCCUGGCUCUCUGUACUGAAACAAUUUCUCUGGAUCUCUUUCCCUUUUGUUUUGGACCUUAUACAACCUGCUGUUGGCUAAUAAUGACAUUCAUGAAUAAUAGAUCAUGUUAAAGCUGUUUGCAUGGUCUGCUGUUGUCAAAUAGUUUUAUGCAGUCACAACUCUUAUUAAAUGAUCAAGUUGACUUCAAGCAUUGGGCUAAAAACUAAGAUUAUGUAAGUUAAAUAACAUAUAUGCCGUCAUCUUCAAUUUAAGUGAUAUUGUGUCAAUCUUCUGAUCAACUGUUUACAUCUUCGGAUUAUAUAGAUUCAUGUCACCUGUGUAUGUCUUCGGAAUUAUCUAUGUUUAUGUUACUGUGUAUGUCUUCAGAUUUAUAUAUAUUUAGGUCACCUGUGUAUAUCUUGAGAUAUUUCGUAAUUGCAUAUUAUUACAGAUGGCAAAGAUGUUUAAUUCUAUUUUUUUAUUGGAUAUCCUUCAGCGAUAUGCCCUGCCCGGCCUUGUCAGCUAAUAUGCAAUAUCAGUUUUAUGCCCUUGACAUGGCAUACAUUCCUCCAGGCUGCACUCACUUACACUUUUACUGUAGAUUGAUAGGUUAAUGUUCCAUUGUCAAGGUGAACCAAUCAGCUAAUGAUGGUUCAUAUAGUUAUAAUUUGAGUGCAACUAUGUAUCCACUAUGAUGUAGAAUUGUGGGUAUUUGCAAUUUAAAAGGUAUGCCACUUAGGAAUCGACACUCAGGCACAUGCACCUAGGCUUGAUGGGUAAGUCUGGCCAAUUUACAUAUGGGGAACACAAAUUAAUUUAAUCAGUUAUUCCAAUUUAUUCUUCUUUGUUUCUAUGCACUGCAAUGCCAAUUUGAGUGCCUAUCUUGUCAUGCUAUUCAGCAUAAUGUCUUGGCAGGCUAUGCAUAUGUUCAUGCUUAUAUAUGCAGCAUUCAUAUAAGUACGGAUUAAUUGGAUUGCUUGCUUUGUCUAAUGCAGCCUCACCAUUUAAUUUGUGGCGAGCACCUUAAUUCCAUCUUGCCAUUAUCGAGGGAGUAUAUCAUAUGCACCUAAUUCUGUAUAUAGAGUAUUUAUUGACUAGGGUCUUGGAAAUUUUUGAAUUGCUGUCAGAUGUAAGUUCCUCAGAUUGAUGAUUUGAUUACUUUCACAGCUAAUACCAUUGAUCAUAGCUAAACACCACUUAUAGAAGUUUAAUGGAUUUUUAUCUAAAAAGGGAAAAAAGGAAAUUAAUAACUGAAACUGCAUAGUAGUACUAUGAUCUCUGAACAAAGAAAUUUGCUGAGUUUCCUAGCAGCUGCUGGGUGCAUUUUCCUCUUGUUAUGUGUGCCUAACCUUGCAUCCAUUAAAUUUCAAAAGUGCAAAUAGAGAAUUAUUGCAUGCAUUCCUUUUAUAUCAAAGAUUGGGAUGAAAUUUCCAGCUUAAUCCUGACAGCCGCAAUGUGUCUUGAGCAAAAGGAAGCAAGGCUGCAACUGAAACACGGUGAAUAGUAAAUAAAAAUCUCGCUUUUAGGAAAAAAAAGGUGAGUCGUGCACAAGUGCUGUAAUCUGGUUUUGGCAAAUUUUUAUCGAGAUAUACUACUCCGUCGCUUUGUUUACACAAUAAACCUGAACUCUAGGUGUAGCAGCUUGAAGCAUUAAAAAAUAAGAUGGCAGCAAACAGAUGUUUGCUUUAUUGGAUUUAAUACUUGGAUAUUCCACUGUGCUUCCCAAAUUGAGCUGAAUAAAUAGCUUGACGAAUUGUUCUCUUAACAUGUCUCAGUUGUCCUUUGUAUCAAAUGAGCAGCAUAAUCCAUUCAUGGAUUGUUCUUUUCCACUGGUGAUACAGAUAGUUACUUCUAAUGUUUCAUGGAAAAGUUCGAGCUACAGAAAUUUCUUAAGCAAGCUUACGGAUUGUUUCUGAUGAGUUUAGCAACUCUAUGGAAACAAGCAUAAGUGCUUCUCAUCUGACCAGUUCCAAGAGAGAAGUAGCCAAGUAGUCCCAGUUCUGUAUUGCAGUUGGCAUGGUUGUGUUCAUCGGAAUAUUGAAUGUCAAAUCGAAAGGAGGCGCCAACCUAUAGCUAUCAACAACAUGGACACCAUGGUUCAGAUUCAUAAAUUUGGGGAUCAUGGAUGUCUAGGUUCAGAAAUUUUUGGAUUUUAGGCAACAAAUUUUGUAGAAUUUCCAAUUUAGAAAAACACAUUUUGCAUUUCGUUAUAAUGUAAUAAAAUACCAAUUUACGUUUAUUUGAUGAAUUAUCAAAGCAACGCUUACAAUACUUUUAUUUUUA